AGAGUUUGAUCCUGGCUCAGGAUGAACGCUGGCGGCGUGCUUAACACAUGCAAGUCGAACGGACUCAUAUUGAAACCUAGUGAUUUAUGAGUUAGUGGCGGACGGGUGAGUAACGCGUGGAAAACCUGCCGUAUACCGGGGGAUAACACUUAAAAAUAGGUGCUAAUACCGCAUAAGCGCACAGCUUCGCAUGAAGCAGUGUGAAAAACUCCGGUGGUAUAUGAUGGUUCCGCGUCUGAUUAGCUGGUUGGCGGGGUAACGGCCCACCAAGGCAGCGAUCAGUAGCCGGCCUGAGAGGGUGAACGGCCACAUUGGGACUGAGACACGGCCCAAACUCCUACGGGAGGCAGCAGUGGGGAAUAUUGCACAAUGGGGGAAACCCUGAUGCAGCGACGCCGCGUGAGUGAAGAAGUAUUUCGGUACGUAAAGCUCUAUCAGCAGGGAAGAAAAUGACGGUACCUGACUAAGAAGCCCCGGCUAACUACGUGCCAGCAGCCGCGGUAAUACGUAGGGGGCAAGCGUUAUCCGGAUUUACUGGGUGUAAAGGGAGCGUACACGGCAGCGCAAGUCUGGAGUGAAAUGCCGGGGCCCAACCCCGGAACUGCUUUAGAAACUGUGCAGCUUGAGUGCGGGAGAGGUAAGUGGAAUUCCUAGUGUAGCGGUGAAAUGCGUAGAUAUUAGGAGGAACACCAGUGACGAAGGCGGCUUACUGGACCGUAACUGACGUUGAGGCUCGAAAGCGUGGGGAGCAAACAGGAUUAGAUACCCUGGUAGUCCACGACGUAAACGAUGAUUACUAGGUGUCG
rnacentral:rRNA from 1 species